rnacentral:lncRNA from 1 species
AUACUCUUCCUGCUUGGUUCAAGUUGGUUAUUGCUGGAUAUCUUAUUGCUUCUAGUGUGUCUCAAGAAACCUCAUACUUAUAUACCCCCACAUUAAUCUCAUGGCAUACAGUAUAAAAGAGUGCAGAGUUGCUCUGCACCAGCUCUCAGAUGCUGCAGUCAGGAGUGGCUGGUGCCCUGAGCAGAGCAUCGUUCAAGCAGCAACUGACGUGUGCAAACUCGAGCCUGAAGCAAUGGAGGGCAGCAGCUCAUCCCUACCCUCCAUCGUGACAGUUUACAUCAAAGAGGAGCCUGAAGAUGAGGGAGAGGACAUAACUGUGAAGGAUGAACCACUUUGCAGUGAAGAAUAUGAGCAAACUCCACUUCCCUCAUCUUGCAAGCCAUGAAAGAAAGAGGUUCAAGUUGAGGCUCACGAGGCCUGCACCAGCGCCUCACAGUACACUGCUGCAGUGCCUCAUAAGCAGGAUGUCUUGCCUUGCAAUGCCCAGAGCAACAUUGGACAGGAUGAGUGGACGGCAGUUUCUCCAGAAAACAAGGAAAAAAAUAUUUCUGUUGCUGAGAAAAAUAUUUCUCCAGUGCCCAAUAGAGCAGCUUUAGUCCAGGAAGUUCUCUUUGAUCAGCCUGUGGCUGAGUUCAAGUCUUUUGAGUCAAACUUGUCCAACAAAGACAAUGGAAGAUUAGCAGAGGAAUUGCAUAAAGUUUCCUCAUCUGCUGAUUCAUCCCAUUCUAAAGUUCCUUUUAAUGCCCUCCAGUUAAACAAAAAUGAUUUUGGAUCUAAAUUUAAAUGCAAGUUAUGCAACUAUGUAACGACUAUGAAACAAAAUCUCCAUAGUCACUUGUUUUCAAGACAUGGUCUGGGGGAAGGAGCCAAAUGCAAGUUGUGUAAUUAUGAAACUGACAGACAUGAACAUCUCGAAAUUCACAUUUUCUCUAAACAUGGUUUAGGGAAGAGAGUAAAAUGUGAUCUGUGUGACUAUGUUACUACUCGAAAAGGCACUUUCCAACGUCAUCUGUUUGCAAAACAUGGUUUGGGGCAAGGAUUUAAAUGUGAUCUGUGUGACUAUGUUACUUCUCAAACACAAAGUCUCCGCAAUCACUUGUUUUCUAAACAUGGGGUGGGGCAAGGAUUCAAAUGCAAGUUGUGUGAUUAUGCUGCUGGUAGUAAAGUUUUUCUUAGAAGGCACCUUUCCUCAAAGCAUGGUUUGGGAGGCUUAAAAUGCAAGCUAUGUGAUUAUUCUGCACGUGAUAAAUCUCGUUUAAAUGUGCACUUAUUUUCUAAGCAUAGGAUGGGUAAAGGAUUUCAAUGCAAGCUGUGUGAUUAUGUCAACUGCAGAAAAGAUCUCCUUGAUAGCCACAUGUUUUAUAUACAUGGUUUAGGGAAGGGAUUCCCAUGCGAGUUUUGUGAUUAUGUUGCUGGUAAGAAACGCUAUCUAACAAAGCACCUGAAAUCCAAACAUGUUCUGGAUUAUGAAAAAUCUAAUAGUACAAGUAGUGCUACAAUGUCUGCUGACAAUCCAAUCUAAACUUUGUUGAGGGGGUUUGGUUGAAUUCUGUUUGUGUGUAAGGUUGCAGCUGAUAAAUAUCAGAUGAAAUGUGUACUGAUUUAUAGCAGUUGUUUGGUUGAAGUAUUCUAUAUUGAGUUUAGUUGCACUGCCGCAAUCAAAAUUUGAAUGAGACUUGCAAACUAUGCACCUUCCAUGUCAAGAAAUCAAGAUCUUGAUGCUCUGUAAUCUGGUCGGCCUUCUCAUUUUGUGACAGAAUUUUUAAUUUUAAUAGAGUCUUAUUUAGAUGAGAUAAUGUGAGUGAUGCAUAUCAAGUUUUGUUCCUACUCAUAUAAUCGGUAAUUCAAUACAUUGAAAUUUACAAGAUUAUUUGUUCUAAGCUCUUGGUCAUUUUCAGUACUCAGUUGAAGAAAGAGCAUCUCCAGUAAUAAAC